rnacentral:misc_RNA from 1 species
GAACAUAACAGAGUUACCUUGUUACGACUUCACCCCAGUCAUGAAUCCUACCGUAAUCGCCUCCUUACGGUUAGGCUAACUACUUCUGGUAAAACCCACUCCCCAUGGUGUGACGGGCGGUGUGUACAAGACCCGGAACGUAUUCACCGCGACAUGCUGAUCCGCGAUUGGCCAUGAUUCCGGACUUCACGGCAGUCGAGUUGCAGAUCGAUCCGGACUACGAUCAAGGGGUUGGCGACCCUCGUCCCUACCCUUGACAUGUCUGGAAUCCCGAAGAGAUUUUGGGAGUGCUCGCAAGAGAACCGGAACAUGCUGCAUGGCCGUCGUCAGCUCGUGUCGUGAGACGCUGGGUUAAGUCCCGCAACGAGCGCAACCCUUGUCAGCUGCUGCGAAAGGGCACUCUAUCGAGACUGCCGGUGACAAACUGGAGGAAGGUGGGGAUGACGUCAAGUCCUCAUGGCCCUUAUGGGUAGGGCUUCACACGUCAUACAAUGGUCGGGACAGAGGGUCGCCAACCCGCGAGGGGGAGCCAAUCCCAGAAACCCGAUCGUAGUCCGGAUCGCAGUCUGCAACUCGACUGCGUGAAGCCGGAAUCGCUAGUAAUCGCGGAUCAGCAUGUCGCGGUGAAUACGUUCCCGGGUCUUGUACACACCGCCCGUCACACCAUGGGAGUGGGUUUUACCAGAAGUAGUUAGCCUAACCGUAAGGAGGGCGAUUACCACGGUAGGAUUCAUGAUUGGGGUGAAGUCGUAACAAGGUAA